GACGAACGCUGGCGGCGUGCUUAACACAUGCAAGUCGAACGAUGAAGCUGGAGCUUGCUCCGGUGGAUUAGUGGCGAACGGGUGAGUAACACGUGAGCAAUCUGCCCUUGACUCUGGGAUAACUGCGGGAAACUGUAGCUAAUACCGGAUACUUCCACUGGAAGGCAUCUGCUGGUGACGAAAGAAUUUCGGUCAAGGAUGAGCUCGCGGCCUAUCAGCUUGUUGGUGAGGUAACGGCUCACCAAGGCGACGACGGGUAGCCGGCCUGAGAGGGUGACCGGCCACACUGGGACUGAGACACGGCCCAGACUCCUACGGGAGGCAGCAGUGGGGAAUAUUGCACAAUGGGCGCAAGCCUGAUGCAGCAACGCCGCGUGAGGGAUGAAGGCCUUCGGGUUGUAAACCUCUUUUAGCAGGGAAGAAGCGAAAGUGACGGUACCUGCAGAAAAAGCACCGGCUAACUACGUGCCAGCCGCCGCGGUAA
rnacentral:rRNA from 1 species